rnacentral:lncRNA from 10 species
CACGCCCCCAACACCACUACAGACCACAGGGCCUGUUUUAGGACUAUUCACGUGUGCUUAACUCACAUCCUUGGUAGGCUAGGCCUGGGGGCUCACGUCUAUAAUCCCAGCACUUUGGGAGGCCAAGGCAGGAGGAUCACUUGAGCCCAGGAGUUCAAGAUCAGCCGGGGCAACAUAGUGAGACCCCAUCUCUACAGUUUUUUAAAAAAAGAUAUGCUUAACUCACACCUUUGGUAAAACAUCUCUGGUCAGGGAAUAUAAAAGAAUGUAGAAUCUGCGGCUGAAUAAUGAUUUCUAUUUCCAUAGAACAUACACACUCAACACAACUCCCUCUUUGUGGGGAAGCCCUUCUUCUUUCUCAGUGCCAGCGUGUACCCUGCUGUGGGAUCACUGCUAUUCCUUGAUCUACAAAAAAAAAAAAAAAAACUCUUUUCCAUCACAUACAUCUCAUGAAUCUCAGAACUCAAUUUUACUCUUUAAAUAUUUUUAAAGCUGAAAGAUUUAUUUUCACUUAAAAACAAAAAGUCAGUCCCAAAGUCAAGAGUUCACCUGGUGUCAAAGCAACAUUACCUCCUUUUUCUGCAUCUCUCUCCCCGUUUUCCUUCCUACAGCUCAUCUGAGUCCGAAUAAUGUUCUUAAAUAAGUCUUCUCACUCUUUCCCCACAAAUUCCUCUUAUCUUUUCAUUUGCAACAAAACCUCUGGUGGGCACAGCUGUAGUUGGGUGCCCUUUGCAUGAUACAAGUCCUCACUUCUGGAAUCCAGGCCAGCUCAGGACACCACGUCCUACCACAACCGGCUUCCCAGGGCUACUGGCCAUGAGGUUUACCUUCAGCAAGGACACUGGGACAGAACCAUACGGUUUCCCGAUCCACCUUCAAUCCCAAGCGACAAAGUGUCCGAACCCCACAGCCAAAUUCCAGACAGAACUGAACAGUCCACCUCAUCUGUUCAGCUAAGCCCCUACCAGCAGGCUCUGAACUGAUGGGCGCUAGGCAAAU